AGGGUGUUGACAGAGAAGUGACGUAGAUGGUGAGGUUUGGGUUUUUUUUGACAUUUUCGAAACAUUUACCCUAUCAUUCCUUUGGAGUCAUUGCUUUCUUAUUCCUCAUCUUUGGCUUUCCUGAAUAGAGAACUUCUGCAGCAAUGAUUUUUUUUUUUGCAUGUUUAAUUCAAAAUUAUGUUUUUGAUAUUUAUACACUUGUUACUACAUAUAGCAGGUAUCCAUUUACUUUAUUUUAAUAGCUUUAUUGGGGUAUAACUGAUGUAUAAAAAACUGCACACAUUUAAUGCAUCCAAUAUGAUGAUUUUGGACAUAUGCAUACCACCAUGAAACCAUCGGCACGAACAAGCCUCUGAAGACAACCAUUCUAUUCUCUGCUUUGAGUUUGAUGAAUUAGAUACCUCACAUAAGUGGAAUUGGGCAGUAUUUGUCCUGUGACUGAUCAAUUCAAAAUGGAUUACAGACUUAGAAGUCAGACCUGCAGCAAUGUAUUUUUAAGGAGAAACAUUCUGAAAAGAAAGGAGCAUUUUGAACUGUGAAGUUUGUCCCAUCUAAUUGAGAAGCUCAAUGAAAGCAUAAAGGCAGAAAAUGGAAUUAUUGGUAUACGUAAAUAAUAAUUAAAGCCUUUUUUCUAAUUUAUAGAAUAAUGUGUCAUACUCAUAGGCCAUCUUACAUAAAUUAUGGAAUAGUUUUAAACAUAAAAUAUAAUGUCUUCUAUCUAAAAAUUUGGGGCAAAACAGAAAAAAAUUUAAGCAAUUGAUAGGUGGAAAAAUAUAAUACUCUUACGUAUUAUUUAAAAGAACAAUGAGUGGUGAGAUGUGCUAAAUAGGUUGGUGUGAUAAAGACGGCUAAUUGUUCCACUGUGGUCAUUCUGCAUUGCGCACGUGACCAUUUCACAGCCUUCCCUAAAGCUAAGUGUGGCCAUGUAACUAAACGUUGGCAAAUGAAAUAUUGGCCAAAAGUGAUAAGUACAAUUCUGAUUUGCACUCUUUUAAAAAAAAUUUAGCUCUUUAUCUUUUUCUACCACUUAGGAUUUUUUUUUAAUUUUUAUUUUUAAAUGGAAAAAGUGUAUCUUUUCAUUACUUUGAACCAUUUCUUGUCAACUGGCAUAUCAGUCAGGUGAUGAGCCAUUCUGACAAUGUAGAUAAGGAAGGAAGAGCAAAGGACAGUAGGAAUAUUGUCCCUUUCAUAUUCAACUUAUUUAAUUUCAGUUAACAUAUAUUUAAUUAAAACAACUAAAUAGUGAGUAAAAUAAGUAAUUUCAUAAAUUUACAAAAUGCAUUUAUACUAUGGUUUCCAUUAAACUGAAACAGUUUAAAAACCAUGGCAACAUGCUUACUCAGCUUUAGGAGAGUUAGAAAAAAAAAGUGUACCUUCACCUAUAAUUUACUAUAUUUUCAUUUUAGAGAUAAUAACAAUGUUUUCUAGUAUUUUUUCUGCUGAUGUUUUCACAUUUUUGCUAUAUGAAAUAAUAUCAUGCAAUGGAUUAUAAAUAUGGAAACUAAGUAAAAUGCGAAUAAAAAUAUGCCUGUGGUGAUGGACCAGAGAAACAAAGUAAAAUAUUCAUGGAACAAUGGAAAUACUUUCAAUAAGAUGCUAUUCAGGUUAAUAUGAGAAGAUAUUUGACAGACAUUAAUUUACAAAUAAUAGCAUGCAAAAUGCCAGAAUAUAGAGACAUUGAAGUCCACGAACGGAAAUAGGGUGGAAGAUUCUUUGUUGCUCAGAGCCAGUACCUGGGCUCUGGAAUCUCUGCAUUGGAGAUCCGUUAUCCUUUCCACCCUUUCCACACUGCCAUUUUCUGGGAUUAGGAAUAUCUGGCGGGUCAUCUUAAGUAAGACGGAAGAGGCUACCCUACACUAAUAGGGUGAAAUGCUUUCUGAAGUCUCACCUUUUCCUAGCCAUAGAGAACACCUUUUCACUUAGGCUUCUUUCUGAUUCUUCCUCCAACUUUGGCUCAUAGAACAAAAUCCUUUCUGUGUAGGCUCCUUUACAAAUCAUGACUUACCCCUUUACCAGUCUUUCACAUACAUUUUUCAUGAUUUGGAAGGAGAAAUAUGUGUAAGAGGGUGUGAAUAAACUGGAAAUCUCAAUAGAUAAUAAUCUGGUUAAUGAAAUUGCAUUAAAAGAUGUUUUGUUUUUUAAUUAGGAAAUGCAUUUUAUUUAACAUCUAUAUUUGACAUACACUCUUGCUCAAAGUAUAACUAGAAGUUUUGGAGGAAACGUUGAAUAUCUGUCUAAAGAUUUAGCAUUUUAUCAUGAAAACUCAUUAAUUUCACAGUUUAAUUUACAGCAAAUAAUCAAUGUAACAUAACUAGUCUUUGAUAUUUUGGAACAAGUUAAAAAAUACCUGUGACUCUCAUAUCAUAAAAAAUAUGAUCUAUUUAUCAUUAACUACUCUUUACUUUCUUCUGAAAGUAAAUAAUGUAUAUUUUUCUGAAGCCUAAUUUCCCAAUGUUAUGUGUGAAAUUCAGGGGAAAAUAAAUGCCUUACUAGUUCCAUAUACAAUUAUUGAAAAUCUUAAGGAUUAGCCUCUUAAAGUUAAAAUGUACCUUCUGUAAUGACUAAAAUCUCUGUUAUUUCAGUGAACUCACUGUGCGCUCAUAGUAAUGGUAAUGAAUUGCCAAUAUUAAUACUGUCUUAACCUGAAUAAUUUUCCGUGAACAAACAUGGAAAAUAUUCAGUCUUUAUCCAAAGUGAAUCAGAUUAUGGGUAAUUUUUAUUUUUAAGAUUCUAUAAUGUGAAACUCUACUAGAAUGAACCAAAUUGCUAAUGUAUGUACACAAAGAUUAGUAAACUUAUUUACUUUUUAUAAAUACUUUUACUUGUUAUAAAUACUUUUUGAAAUUUAUAUUUCAAAUAAUGCAUUAAAUAUGGUGAUUCUUAAAUUCUUAUGUUGAGUUCAAAUUCAGUGUGAAGGGUCAACUCUGAAUAUCCCCACAGCGGGUUCAUUCUUAAUUGAUAGUGUUUGAAGUAAGUCCCCACAAUCAACACUGAUAUAUAAUGCCAAAUAUAAUUUAAAUAUUUUUUUAAAAGGUAAAGAUACUCCCACCUUCUUCUUUGUCAAUAUGAAGAAUGAUACACCAAUUUAAGAUAAAAUAUGAAGGUCUAAAUUACAUGGCUGAUGCGAGAUCACAGAAUACAACAGCUAAUUUUGUUUUCUUUAUUUUAAAAAUUAAAUUUACAUUUUAAAUAUAAAUAUCAUAAAGUUCAGGAGUGUUCACUAAAUAUAGACGUUAGAAUUUCAAUCUCUACUGUGCUUUUAAAUGGACAUGUUGAUAACAGGGUGGUUGAGAAUUUGCAGUUGAUAUCAAGCUAUUGGCUGUGUUCCGACUGAUUUUAUUCUUAGUAAAAUCAAUAUUUCUUGCUUUUAUUGGGCAGAAAAGCAGGUAAUGAUGAAUCACAUGAAUGUCUUCCUGAUUUAUUUGUAUAACCACAGUCAGUAUAACUGGUCAGUUGUGCUAGCUGACCUAUUUGCCAUCUAAAUGUUUAUGCUCUCUUCUGCAAAGGAUUAAACCACACAGGUGAGAAAUUGUCUUUUACUCUGAAACCAAGCAGCUGUAAAAUAUCCAGAAUCCUGAGGCUGUAUCAAGGGACUGAAGUGAAUGGGUUGACACUGCAGAAGUCUGUCCUGCUACUUUAUUCAGGCAUCUGCCAGGAGACGACUGUCUUUCAAGCAUACACUCUCCAGCCAGACUCAGCAAAUCUGAAGUCAGAGACCUGACAGGCCUUAAUUAGAUUUCCUCCGCAUUGUAUACUCUGAAAAUGACAUUUCUCGUGAAAAAGACUUCCUUCCGAGUGACUUGAAUCCUGGGCUUUUUAGGAGUGGCUGCUCACAGAGGAUUGGGUACAAGUCUUUGUGAAAUGCCUUAGCACAAAUUUCCUUUCAAAAUAGAUGGAUGUUUAGAAAAUGUUACUAUUAUUAAGAUUUAAUUACGUAGUAAAAAGUGAGAACUGUCUUUUUAAUUAAAUAGAUUUAUUAGGUACCCACCGUAUGUAGAUAAUUGUAACAGUCAUUGUGAGAGAUACAAAGAAGAAAAUAAAACAAGAAAUAAG